UACAGAGGUGGCAAGCGUUGUUCGGAUUUAUUGGGCGUAAAGGGUCCGUAGGCGGUUUGGAAAGUCGGGUGUGAAAGCCCACAGCUCAACUGUGGAACUGCACUCGAAACUUCCAGACUAGAGUAUGAGAGGGGUAAAGGGAAUUCCCGGUGUAAGGGUGAAAUCUGCAGAGAUCGGGAGGAACACCUGUCGCGAAGGCGCUUUACUGGCUCAUUACUGACGCUCAGGGACGAAAGCUAGGGUAGCAAACGGG
rnacentral:rRNA from 1 species